rnacentral:rRNA from 1 species
CCUACGGGGGGCUGCAGUGGGGAAUAUUGGACAAUGGGGGCAACCCUGAUCCAGCCAUGCCGCGUGUGUGAAGAAGGCCCUCGGGUUGUAAAGCACUUUCAGUGAGGAAGAACGCCUGGUGGUUAAUACCCAUCAGGAAAGACAUCACUCACAGCAGAAGCACCGGCUAACUCCGUGCCAGCAGCCGCGGUAAUACGGAGGGUGCGAGCGUUAAUCGGAAUUACUGGGCGUAAAGCGCGCGUAGGUGGCUUGAUAAGCCGGUUGUGAAAGCCCCGGGCUCAACCUGGGAACGGCAUCCGGAACUGUCAAGCUAGAGUGCAGGAGAGGAAGGUAGAAUUCCCGGUGUAGCGGUGAAAUGCGUAGAGAUCGGGAGGAAUACCAGUGGCGAAGGCGGCCUUCUGGACUGACACUGACACUGAGGUGCGAAAGCGUGGGUAGCAAACAGGAUUAGAUACCCCGGUAGUC